rnacentral:rRNA from 1 species
CAGCCGCCACGGGAAUACGGAGGGUGCAAGCGUUAAUCGGAAUUACUGGGCGUAAAGCGCACGCAGGCGGUCUGUCAAGUCAGAUGUGAAAUCCCCGGGCUUAACCUGGGAACUGCAUUUGAAACUGGCAGGCUAGAGUCUUGUAGAGGGGGGUAGAAUUCCAGGUGUAGCGGUGAAAUGCGUAGAGAUCUGGAGGAAUACCGGUGGCGAAGGCGGCCCCCUGGACAAAGACUGACGCUCAGGUGCGAAAGCGUGGGGAGCAAACAGGAUUAGAUACCCGGGUAGUCCCUGUCUCUUAUAC